GGUCAUUCACGUGAGAUGGACUCUCUCGCCAUAUUCCUUUUCCUCCAAAAUACUAUCACAAACAACUCGCAAGAGAUGGAUUCCCUCCAAUGGUUAUAUUCCCUCCUCCAUAAGCUCCUAUUCUAUUAAGAAUCCACGGAUCCAAACCUUUCUCCUACCUCGGAUCCAAACCUUUCUCCUACAGUACUACUACAGCCUUAGCUUGGGCUGCUACAGUAGAUUUUCU
rnacentral:lncRNA from 1 species